GAUGAACGCUGGCGGCGUGCCUAAUACAUGCAAGUCGAGCGAACGGACGAGAAGCUUGCUCUUCUGAUGUUAGCGGCGGACGGGCGAGUAACACGUGGAUAACCUACCUAUAAGACUGGGAUAACUUCGGGAAACCGGAGCUAAUACCGGAUAAUAUUUUGAACCGCAUGGUUCAAUAGUGAAAGACGGCUUUGCUGUCACUUAGAGAUGGAUCCGCGCUGCAUUAGCUAGUUGGUAAGGUAACGGCUUACCAAGGCAACGAUGCGUAGCCGACCUGAGAGGGUGAUCGGCCACACUGGAACUGAGACACGGUCCAGACUCCUACGGGAGGCAGCAGUAGGGAAUCUUCCGCAAUGGGCGAAAGCCUGACGGAGCAACGCCGCGUGAGUGAUGAAGGUCUUCGGAUCGUAAAACUCUGUUAUUAGGGAAGAACAUAUGUGUAAGUAACUGUGCACGUCUUGACGGUACCUAAUGAGAAAGCCACGGCUAACUACGUG
rnacentral:rRNA from 1 species